UGACUAUUCCAGCUGUACCUUGGGGGAUUACAUACCUCUAUUUUUGGAUUCUACUCCUCUAAAUCAGGAAAGAACAACUGCAUUUGUUGGUAGUCAAUUUGAGUUCAACAUCACUGCACAUGCAUCACAGGCAGAUGUUUCCAAUAUAAUGGUUACUGGCCCACUGAAUCUGAACAAAUCAUUCCAGUUUGAUACCAUGACAAGAACUGGUAGUGCAACUGUAAUGUGGACCCCAUCUGAAAAUGAAGUGGGCAACUAUAUACCAUUUUGUUUUACAGCAUGGGCUGCGGGACCGUAUCAGUCUGAGAUGAGAUGCAUAUUUGUGAAUGUAGUGCCUAAGACGCCCAAUGUGAGUAACAUGACGACUACGACACCCAGCAGUAAGUGCUGCUUUCUG